AUGAAAUUAACAUUACUUAUUAUAAUUUUAAUGCGUUUAACUCUGACAACAACCCCUACUCCGUAUAACAUAAACCCAAAAAUCGUCGUCAGACCCAAACCCUUACCGAAAACUUCAGAGGAGAGAGAAAGUAAGGGCAACGCAACAAUGGCGGAACAUCUUGCAUCGAUAUUCGGGACUGAGAAGGAUAGAGUGAACUGCCCAUUCUACUUCAAGAUCGGAGCUUGCAGGCAUGGAGAUCGUUGCUCAAGGCUUCAUACGAAGCCAAGUAUUAGCCCUACGUUGCUGCUCGCUAACAUGUAUCAGCGUCCUGAUAUGAUUACUCCUGGUGUUGAUCCUCAGGGCCAGCCUCUCGAUCCUACAAAAAUUCAACAACAUUUUGAGGAUUUUUAUGAAGAUUUAUUUGAGGAGCUAAACAAGUAUGGGGAGAUUGAGAGUCUCAACAUUUGUGACAAUUUAGCUGAUCACAUGGUGGGGAAUGUUUAUGUGCAGUUUCGGGAGGAAGAACAUGCUGCCGAGGCAGUUCGAAACUUGAGUGGAAGAUUUUAUGCUGGCCGUCCAAUUAUUGUUGACUUCUCUCCUGUAACGGACUUCAGAGAGGCAACGUGCAGGCAGUAUGAAGAGAAUGUGUGCAACCGUGGAGGCUACUGUAACUUUAUGCAUUUGAAAAAAAUUAGCAGGGAGCUCAGACGACAGUUGUUUGGAAGGUACCGGAGGAGGCGAAGCCGUAGUAGAAGUCAUAGUCCGCAACGACAUCGGGGUCAUGGAGACCGUCCCCAAGGUGGUCCCCAUGGAGGCCGUGGCUAUGGUGGUAGAAGAGAAUCGAGAGAUGAUGAUAGAAAUCAGCGCUACAAUGACAAGGGUAGAAGGCCUAGGAGCCGUAGCCCUGGGCAUAGAGGACGAAGCCCUGUUGGCAGGAGGGAUAGGAGUCCAGUGAGGGACAGGGAGAAUAGUGAGGAAAGAAGAGCAAAGAUUGAGCAGUGGAACAGGGAAAGAGACCAGCCUGAUACUGUCAAUAAUGAUGAUGUAAGUCGUGAUGCCAAUGACAACCAUGCAAAUGGUGUGGACAAUGGGGAUGAUUACUAUGACAACCCUCAGCAGUAACUGGAUGAAGUGGAAUAGCAGGCAAUAUUCACUACUUUUGGUGGAGUACAGGUUCAUUGCUUAAUGAUAAUGAAAGUAAAAUCUUUUUUCCAACUUUUAAAAUGGUUGGCUGUUAUCAGAGUCGGUUCGUUUGCAGAAUCUUUUCAAAGUUGAAGUGGUGGAAUGAUUGAAGAAUUAACGCUGUAAUGAGAAGCCUGAAUUCAGCUCAAGGGGUGUUUCUCGGAGACCAGUCUGUUUAAAUUUUCUCAAUUGGCGUGUUUAAACAGUUUCUUUGUUAUUGUUUAGUGUUAGAUUGUAAGACUGUUGAACGCAUGUUUGUGAAGACGAUGUUGCAACUUUCAAGUGUAGACUAUUUGAAAUGGUUACUUGAAAUUUAUGAAGUACCUAGAAAUGUUUUGGGUUUUGA